rnacentral:rRNA from 1 species
UACAGAGGGUGCAAGCGUUGUUCGGAAUUAUUGGGCGUAAAGGGUGUGUAGGCUGUUUGAUAAGUCUUCUGUGAAAUCUACGGGCUUAGCCUGUAAAGUGCAGAGGAAACUAUCAGGCUUGAGUGUCAGAGAGGAUAGGGGAAUACCCGGUGUAGAGGUGAAAUUCGUAGAGAUCGGGUGGAACACCAGUGGCGAAGGCGCCUAUCUGGCUGACAACUGACGCUGAGACUCGAAAGCAUGGGGAGCAAACAGG